GAAUGUGUUAUCAAAUGGGUAAAACAUGAUUUAGAUCAUAGAAUAGAUUUUUUACCAAAAUUAAUGGAACAUGUACGUUUGCCACUAUUAAAGCCUGAUAUAUUGUUUAAUAUAUAUGAAGAACCUCUUCUAAACACUAGUCCUAAAUGUAACAAUUAUUUAGUUGAAGCCUUACGUUUUAAUCAUC